AAGAUUCAUGGACAGGGAUCAGGGAGAGAUGAUGGAUUCAUUCCUUUCAACUUAUGAAACAAAACCCAGAACGGGGGGAGACCCUUCGAUCUUAAUCGGCAGGCGCUAACACGACAAUGAUCUCCAGAGUUUAACCUAAAAGUCGGGGGGUCCUCACAAAUUACGUUUCUUGCAAGGAAAGUAACAGAGGGAGGAGGAGGGCCUUCACGUCAUAUUUUGUUCCUCCCUCUCGCUUUUUUGGUUAUGUUGUAUUUCGCUUUUAAUUAUAUAUACACGAUUUUGGCAAUUAUUUUA